UUUCGAAAAAAUUUUAAAUUAAGCCCAAAAUUUUUCAAAAAAAUUAUAAGUUUUUCUACAAUGUUCAAUCAUCAAAAAUAACCAAUUUCUAUUCCCAACAACUUCAAAUAAAAUUUCAUAAAUAAAUUUUGAAAAAUCAAUUUCAAGGAUAUUCAAUUUGGCAAAAUUGUUGACCCGAAAAUCAAUAAAAAUUCUAGAUACAUAUAAAAUAAAAUUCUACACAUCAUGCAAGAUCUAGGAAUUAAUUGUAUCGUUCUAUCAUCAUAUUUGUUAAAGAAAAUAUAUAAAUAAUUCUCAGAAUCGUGAAAUCAAAAUAAUAUGUUCAAAUUAAGUUAUGCAUAAUAUUCGAGACAAGAGUGGCUCUUUGAGCAUCUUUUUUUUUAUUAACAUUCCAACUUAUAUCACCUACAAGAUGUAUAGCUCUUUGAGCAAUUUUUUUCUGAAAGGUACUUUCCUUUUGUCUUAUAGAGAUACUUUAAUCAACAUGUGGUAGCUGCACACACUGACCGGACAACCGGGGUGGUAGCUCUUUCCUCCAUGUGGUGGUAGUUUUCACACUCCCAGCAGGGAUGUAACUCUUUCCACAUCUUGAAUUUCAGAAACUUUCAUAACCAAAAUCGGAAAGACUCUCCCUAAAUUAGUGCAACCCUCAAGUCAAAAAUAUUAUUGCAAUUUCAAAAACAGAGAAAGAGUUAUUCAUCUCAAAACUAAUAAUCAAAUAAACAAUUGCAAUAUUCAAA
rnacentral:lncRNA from 1 species